GGGGAUUAGUGGCGAACGGGUGAGUAACACGUGAGUAACCUGCCCUUAACUCUGGGAUAAGCCUUGGAAACGGGGUCUAAUACUGGAUAUUGACUUUUCCUCGCAUGGGGUUUGGUUGAAAGAUUUAUUGGUUUUGGAUGGACUCGCGGCCUAUCAGCUUGUUGGUGAGGUAAUGGCUCACCAAGGCGACGACGGGUAGCCGGCCUGAGAGGGUGACCGGCCACACUGGGACUGAGACACGGCCCAGACUCCUACGGGAGGCAGCAGUGGGGAAUAUUGCACAAUGGGCGAAAGCCUGAUGCAGCGACGCCGCGUGAGGGAUGACGGCCUUCGGGUUGUAAACCUCUUUCAGUAGGGAACAAGGCCAGCUUUUUGGUUGGUUGAGGGUACUUGCAGAAGAAGCGCCGGCUAACUACGUGCCAGCAGCCGCGGUAAUACGUAGGGCGCAAGCGUUAUCCGGAAUUAUUGGGCGUAAAGAGCUCGUAGGCGGUUUGUCGCGUCUGCCGUGAAAGUCCGGGGCUCAACUCCGGAUCUGCGGUGGGUACGGGCAGACUAGAGUGAUGUAGGGGAGACUGGAAUUCCUGGUGUAGCGGUGAAAU
rnacentral:rRNA from 1 species